CCCGGCGCGGCCCCCGCGGGCGGGCGGCCCCCGCGGCGCCGCGGCGCGCAGCAGCAGCCGCCCCCGGCCGGCCCGCAGGCAGCCGCCCAGCGCCAUGCCGCGCCGCUCCCGCCCGGCCCGGCCCGGCCCGGCCCCGGGGCCGCCGGCGGGGCACGCCGGGGCUCGUAGUUCCCGGACUACAGCUCCCAGCGAGGCGUGGGGCCCGGUGGGGCGGGCCCGGGGGCGCAGCCUGCCUUCGUCCCGAGCUGGGCGGGGAGGGUGGUGCCGGCUCCGGAGAGGGCGGUGUCCUGUCUGCUUCGGAGCGAAGGGGCACAGGUUUGGGGAGAGCUGGCAGAGAAACUGGGGACGGCGAGUGGUUGCAAAGCAGACCGUGUCCCGGUGGCUCCCUCUUCCCUGCAGCGUGGGAGAGAAAUCUUGGCGCUAAAUUCAGCUGAGGCCCUUCCAGACCUGAGGAAAGCAAAAAGUUCGCUUCAGGUCCAUGGAGAUGAAGCAAUGUUUGUUUGCUUUCUGGCUAGGCUUAAGAUCUCCUGACUGCCACGAUGCGGCAGGUUUAACAUGAAUGACUUUAGGCAUCAGUUACACAAACAGUGUAAUUGUUUGUUUUUUAUGCUUCCAUUGCCAUGAACACCAGCAUUAAUUCGUUUUUGACUUGCUUUAACACCCAGAGCCCUUUCUGCAGAGCUGUUAAAGCACUGGUAGCGCAGGGUUAUACGUUUGUACAGACGGUUAUUCCUCCUUAAGCGCCUUUGCCUUAA